GUGAAGAGAUAAUGAGAUGUUUGCUUUGGGUAUCUGCUUCCGUACUUUCUCACUGACGCACCAAGCCUUGAUUCACUUACUACUUUCCUACCUACAAUGUUGCUCCUUUUGAGGACAAAGAAGAAGGAUCAAAAGAAAUGCAAGGGAGGAGAGGAACCUUUGAGAACCAUAUAAUAACAGCUGGAAGGGACCUCGGAGGUCCUCUAGUCCAACCCCCUGCUCGAGCAGAGACCCUUACAGAAUCAUAGAAGGGAAGGGCCCUUGGAGGUCUUCUAAUCUGCAAGACCACCAAGCUCCCUUUCAACUCUGUGAAUUCUAUGAUCUUCUAAGGAUCUCCUCCUUGAGCAGGGGGCUGGACUAGAAGACCUCUGAGGUCCCUUCCAACUCUACCCUGAAGUUUGAAUUCGAUUAAGGCUUCUGACUUUAUGGCCAUGCCACUCAGUUGCACUUCUGGCAAACCAUGCCACAUCUACAGGACCUCUUCGUAAACCGGGUUAUGUUCUUGAAAGUCCUUUUUUUUUUUGAGGUUCUCCUGAACUUGAUCCGAUCCUAACCUUCUGGUUUUUGCCACCUUCUCAAGGAAGUUAUGGCUUCUUCAAAUAUUGGUUUGGCCUUUUGGUUCUCAUUCCUGACGAAGAUAAGAGUCAACCAAGUUUAUUCCUCCGUUCGAUGUGUGGCCACUUCCUUGUCCAUCAAACUUCCUUCAUUCUCGUUUUAUAAAACAUGCAUCUUCUUAAACCUCCAGUUCCCACAGCUUC